rnacentral:rRNA from 1 species
CAGUCGCCGCGGGAACACAGAGGGUGCGAGCGUUAAUCGGAUUUACUGGGCGUAAAGCGUGCGUAGGCGGCUUCUUAAGUCGGAUGUGAAAUCCCUGAGCUUAACUUAGGAAUUGCAUUCGAUAAUGGGAAGCUAGAGUAUGGGAGAGGAUGGUAGAAUUCCAGGUGUAGCGGUGAAAUGCGUAGAGAUCUGGAGGAAUACCGAUGGCGAAGGCAGCCAUCUGGCCUAAUACUGACGCUGAGGUACGAAAGCAUGGGGAGCAAACAGGAUUAGAUACCCCGUAGUCCCUGUCUCUUAUACA